GCCUAGUUCUGUGCUCUCCGCCGCGUCACUGGCGGAGAGCACAGAACUAGGCA
rnacentral:pre_miRNA from 1 species